GACGAACGCUGGCGGCGUGCUUAACACAUGCAAGUCGAACGGAAAGGCCCUGCUUGCAGGGUGCUCGAGUGGCGAACGGGUGAGUAACACGUGGGUGAUCUGCCCUGCACUUCGGGAUAAGCCUGGGAAACUGGGUCUAAUACCGGAUAGGAGCCAUCUUUAGUGUGAUGGUUGGAAAGUUUUUUCGGUGUAGGAUGAGCUCGCGGCCUAUCAGCUUGUUGGUGGGGUAAUGGCCUACCAAGGCGGCGACGGGUAGCCGGCCUGAGAGGGUGGACGGCCACAUUGGGACUGAGGUACGGCCCAGACUCCUACGGGAGGCAGCAGUGGGGAAUAUUGCACAAUGGGCGCAAGCCUGAUGCAGCGACGCCGCGUGGGGGAGGACGGCCUUCGGGUUGGAAACUCCUUUCGCUAGGGACGAAGCUUUUUGUGACGGUACCUAGAUAAGAAGCACCGGCUAACUACGUG
rnacentral:rRNA from 1 species